rnacentral:rRNA from 1 species
UACGUAGGGUGCGAGCGUUAAUCGGAAUUACUGGGCGUAAAGCGUGCGCAGGCGGUUUUGUAAGUCAGAUGGGAAAUCCCCGGGCUUAACCUGGGAACUGCGUUUGAAACUACAAGGCUAGAGUGUGGCAGAGGGGGGUGGAAUUCCACGUGUAGCAGUGAAAUGCGUAGAGAUGUGGAGGAACACCGAUGGCGAAGGCAGCCCCCUGGGCCGAUACUGACGCUCAGGCACGAAAGCGUGGGGAGCAAACAGG